rnacentral:lncRNA from 1 species
CCGCCCCUUUUACCCAAAAACUAUAGGUUGGCCGCCCCCUUUCUAUCUCCCUUAACCCUCACUGUUUGGAUAGCUAUUCAAAGUUUAUCUUCUUCCUUACUCUCUUAAAAUCUAGCUUUAAACCUCUAUUUAGUCCAUAGCGCUAUCAAAGCUUUCAUUUUUUUUUUGUGUCCGCAUUUGACGAUCUCCCGAAAGAGCUGAGCCAAAGUCGGAGAUAGUAGAUCUUCUUGACGACGUCGUGGUUCACUGCCCACAAAAAGGUCAAUAAAUUUCUCUUCUUGUGUGUACAUAGAAAUCAUGUGUAGGGAUUGUGUGUAUUCUGACUUAAUUGAAUAGGAAUACAACUAAGUACCUAGAGGAAUAAAUUUAUAAUGGUUAAUACAAUAAUUGUUAAUUUUAAGGCUCUUUCUUAAAACACUACUAUAUGUGCUUUUUGUGUUUCAAUUGAUAAGUUAGAGUAUUUGUUUCUUUUCCAGCAUGUAUAAAAUAAAAUUUUGUCUCUAUUCCGUGAGUCAAAUUACGGCUUAGGUACCUUUUUAUGUGUUCGAGACGGCGCUUUAAGUUUAAUGUUUCUCUAAUUUAAAUAUCAUAAGAAAAAUGAUGUUAUUAAUUACCUCCAUGUCUAGUUGAAUGAUCUCCUUAUUUAGUAGAUAUAUUACAGGACUAGCUUUAAACAGAUUUUUGUAUCUAAAGAAUCAUAAAAGUUUGCUGGUUAGAUUUUGUAUACAAGUAGAGAUUGUGCUUACGAGUGACUUAUCUCACAGCUUAGGUUGAAAGUUUUAACAAAGCGCUAGCAUAUUUAGUCCUUAACUUGUGUAUUUGAUUAAUGGAUUUGACUUAUUACAUCUAGUUAAAGAUAAGGAAUAUUAUCAUAAUGGUGUUUCUGGCAAGCAGUUUGAUAUGAUAAAGCUAUAUCAACUGUUGGUAAGCUUGAAUUUUAAGUCAUAAUUUUUACAUACUUGCAACUAGGAUUAAGAAUGGACGUUUGGGUUAAAUAGUUCAAAUAUCAAUUUGAUGCCUAAUGACUGUCUUUACAAAGCUAAGUUGAUGUCUAAAUAUGGCCCUAUAUAUUUCUUGAAAAGUACAGUAGCUUAGUUACAGUUUCUUUUUCUAUUCAUAUUGUAGAGGAUAAUCGCCAAAAUUAGAAGCCCUAUUUUUAGGAUUUUAUUUGAGAGUUUAGAUACCAUAUUCAUAGGUUUAAUGUUUACUUUUGGAACUGAAUAGCUUUGCAGGUUUUGAGAAUAAUUUAAAUUUUAUUUUAUAAUUUGUUUAGAUUGUGAGAAGUGAGUUAGUUAAGGAUGUGUAUUUGCAAUGCCAGCAUCUCACAUCUCGGGUGCUCUUUUCUUUUUUUUGUGAAUUGAAGAUUUAUAUAAUGCUGUAGAUAUCUUAUAUUGUUAAGAAUCAUAUAGUUUCUCUAAUUCUUUAUUUUUCCCUUUCUUUGCAUGUACACUUUGGAGUAAAUGGAGUGUCUUAAUUUGAGACUCUCACAGUGGAGUCGCAUAGAGACUCAACGCUACUACCACCACAUGGAGUCAUUGCAUACCAUAUUCUUUAGACGCACCGGAUAGUGAGAAAAACAAGCUAAACACUUUCAUUUCUUUUCUUUGUCAUUCAUGCUAUUUGACUUUUACUUGUGAUUUGAGUUAUCUCCAAUUUCUGGGAUUAUGUGUUAAAAUGCGUGUUAGCGUAGUAUGUUUAAUUAUGUAGAAUCUUACUUUUAUUAUUUAUUUGGUACUAUCUUAUUCACGUAAAUUUAGCCUCUAAUAUAAGGACUUAGAAUCAGUUUUUAAAGUGACGCUUCAAAACCUUUUUCAUCAAAUUAUUUUCUAUUGGCCUUGUGUUAAACUUUCGUAAACACGAGAUUUUUAAGUCCAACGAAAUGAAUUCUAAAGUAUGUAUAUGAAACUAUUUUCGUAAGUCCUAACCUUUUGAAGAACGAUUUCAAUUGUUGGGUUUGUCAAGUUACUAUGGGGUUUAAACAUUUUCCUAGAAGUUAAGUCAAAACAAUUUAUAUCUUGAGUUUGAAAUGCUUUAAAGUACUAUCUUUUUUUCAGAAACAUCUAUAUAGUUUUGUAAUGACUCACUUCUUCAACACUAACACUAGUAUACAUGUAUUCUCUAAUUGACAAUCGUUUUUCUUGACAAACGUUUAACACUAAGUCUUGAAAUUAAUUAACCUAAGUUUGGCCAGUUAACCAUAUUUAAUGGGUCAUAUAGAGUGCUUAAUACCUUCUCUAUAAGAUCAAUUAGAACCCUUACCCGUAGUCUUAAAGGUUAAGUAGACCAUAGAACAGAGUUAACUUUAAGCACUACCUAGCUAAAAUUGGUGUCCUAAUUCACCAUUAAACCAAUUAGGUGGCGACUCUCUUUAAUUAAUUAAACCUUUAGAAUUACCAAUAUUAUACUCUAAUUUGACCCGUGUUAAAAUGGGGUAUAACAUAUUCAGGAUAGGCUUCGUACAACUCAGUCUCCGUUUGGCGAAUCUUCUUUCGGGGAAUUCAACUCUUCUUUCAUAGAUUGGGAACAUAAUAAGCACCAGUAGCCUAUUGAGUUAGAUGAGCUAGAUGACUUUCAUUAGCUCCUAGCGCAGCAUAUCUGAAUUCACUAUAGGGUUAAGAGUGACUUACUUACACUGCUGAAUAACCUUCACUUUAGCGAGCUGUAGGACAAACUACAUUCAAUAGGAGAAAGGAAAUUUUGAAUAGAAGGAUCACUGCCCGUAGCAGUCCUGGAGUUAGGUUAUGAUGGUCGUGAUGAGCUCUACUAGAAAGAAAAUCUCUUCUAUUCAUAGAUGAAGUCCUAUCUAAGGGCCUUCGUUGCCCUUGAAUUCCGUUCCCUAGUUCAAUCCGGAACUCCAGAUGUGUAAGUAGCGGCCAAGCGGCUCUGUCCUUUUCAAAGAGGUUAUCCUUCUCUCUCCCCGCUUCUUAGUCUUAUAGGAUAGCUUACUAUUCAAGUAAGUCACUUUACCCGGCGCUUAUUGUCUUCUUUCUAGCCUAAUUGGUAGCAGUCCCUUUUUAGUACCACCUUUCCUUUUCUUCUCUUUCAGCAGCCUCGUAGGCCAGCUGAAGACCGAAUAAAGCAGUUCAAGCCCGCUUGAGAUCUAUCCAAGACCUAGCCGAUGGCUACUUCCAAUUCAAGUGCCACUUAUCUUAACACACUCGGGCUAAACCGUUCGUGAAUUUGUCUUUUAUGGUCGGUGAGCGGGUAUUGCUUCGAGUGUCACCUAUGAAGGGCAUGAUGAGAUUCGGGAAGAAGAGCAAGCUUAGCCCUAGGUUCAUUGGCCCGUUCGAGAUUCUUGUUCGAGUGGGAGAGGUGGCUUAUAGGCUUGCGUUGCCGCCAAGCUUAACAGCCGUGCAUCCAGUGUUUCAUGUGUCCAUGCUUCGGAAGUAUCACGACGAUCCAUCCCACGUGUUAGAUUUCAGCACUGUCCAGUUGGACAAGGACUUAUCUUAUGAGGAGGAGCCGGUAGCUAUUCUAGACCGGCAGGUUCGUCAGUUGAAAUCGAAUAGUUUUCCUUCUGUUCAUGUUCAGUGGAGAGGUCAGUCUGCUGAGGCAUCGACCUGAGAGUCCGAGUCCGACAUGCGGAACCGUUAUCCCCAUCUUUUCCCUGACUCAGGUACUUCCUUCUUAUGUCCGUUCGAGGACGAACGGUUGUUUUAGAAAUGGAGAAUGUGGGUCACUUGUUUUAGAAAUAAAUUCUGCAUUAUGAGGCCUUAAAAACCUCUUUCAGCAUUACUUCAAUUUGCGUACGCAGUCCGGGCUCGUAUCCGGAAAGCCAUUAUGUGAAAAUCUGCGAAAAAUAAUAAAUUUUGACUUUAAAAUGAAUUUAAGUUGACUUCGGUCAACAUUAUGGGUAACAGACCCGGACCCAUGAUUUGAUGAACCCUGAGGGUCCGUAGGAAAAUGUGAGACUUGGGCGUAUGCCCCGAAUCGAAUUCCGAGGUCCCAAACUCGAGAAAUAAAUUUUUAAAGAAAAUUAUUUUCUAAAAUUAUUUAUGAGUUUUGGAAAUGAAUGUGUUUAAAAUUUGAUGGUAUCAGGCCCGUAUUCUAGUUCCGGAGCCCGGUAGAGGUCUUAUAUGUGAUUUAAGUUGAAUCUGUAAAAUUUGGUAAGAAACAGACUUGAAAUGACGUGAAUCAGACUGUAUUUGAGAAAAUUGGAAAAUAUGAAGUUCUUAAGUGAUUUCAUGAUUCUGAUGCUAAAUUCAUAGUUGUUGAUGUUAUUUUGGCGAUUUGAUCGCACGAGUAAGUCCGUAGGGUGUUUUUUGAGGUAGUGUGCAUGUUUGGUAUGGAGCCCCGAGGGCUCGGGUGAGUUUCGGAUAGGCGUCAGAAGGUUUUUGAACUUAGGAAAAUUGCAGAAACUGUUGUUUGCUGGUGUCCAGGUCCUUGUGUUAUGCGAUCGCAUAGGUAUGUUCGCGAUCGCAUUGUGUAAUUUCAGGGGGGCCUAUUUUGUGCUAUGUGAUUGCACAGCUUCUUCCGCGAUCGCAUAAAGUAAAUUCUGGAGGGUCACCAGUUGUUCUAUGUGAUUGCAAUGCUUCUUCCGCUAUAGCAAUGGGUUAAACCAAGCCUGGGAAGGGAACCAUUUUUCCUCUAUGCGAUUGCACUCCCUAGUUUGCGAUCGCAGUGCCCAAUCCCCCUCACCCUAUGCGAUCGCACACCCUUGUUCGCGAUUGCAUAGGCCAAUUUUGCCCAGUCUUUUAAACAGUAACAGAACAUACGAGAUUUAACCCAAAAUCCAUAACUUCUUCUUCCAAACUUCAAAUUGGGCGAUUUUUUAAAGAGAACUUACCACAAAUUCAUAGGUAUGUAAUCUUAGACUCGUUUUCUUCAAUUUGAAUUAACACCCAUUAAAUUUCUAGGCCUAAAUCAUGUUCUUAAGGUUAGAAAAUUAGGUUAUUAAGGUUAGAAAAUUAGGUUAUUAAGGGUAGAAAGUUAGGGCUUUUUUGUAUAAAUGAAAUUUAGACCUCGUUUUGGGGUCGGAUUUCGAAACUAAUUGCAUAUUAGGGCUCGUGGGUGAAUGUGUGAUCGGAUUUUGGUCCGAACCUCGUAUUUUGACCAAGCGGGCCCAUGGUCGAUUUUUGACUUUUUGGGAAGAAUGAUAGGAAAUCUAUAAUUAAGCAUUGGAAUUGCAUUGUUUAGCGUUUAUUGAUGUUGUUAAAUCAAUUUGGGCUAGAUACGAGUUGUUUGGAGGUGAAUUCUAAAGGAAAAGCGGUGUUUGAGGCUUGAGUUUGCCAUGGAAGUUCGAGGUAAUUGUUUGGUCUAACCUUAGCUUGAGGGAUUAGGAGUUGUGUUCUAUUUGCUACGUGUUACUUGUUGAGUACGACAUAUAGGCAUGGUGACGAGUAUCUAUACGUUGGUGUCAAGCAUGAUCGUGAGUCUUAAAUUGAAAUUGUUGUGUUCUUAACAAAUACUACGAAUGCCUAAGUUGUUGAUUCUAUGUGUGGAGCAAGGAUUAUGAUUAUUCUCGUGGAAAUUACUUAUGAUUGAGUAUUGGUGCUAGUUGAGGAAGUUAGAUGUUGGAACAAGUUUGGUUAUAACUGAUUUUCCGUUGCCGGGACGUAUUUACUUAUACUUUCGAUUCCCUUGUCGGGAUAGUGUUUUCUUUAUUGAUCCCUUGCCGAGACUCUCUUUGUGAUUGGUAUUGAACGCCGCAAUAAUAUUAUAUUUGGAUCGGGUUGCAUGCCGCAACAAUAAUAUAAUUGGAUCGGGUUGCACGUCGCAACAGUGAUAAAUGAUAUGGAUCGGGUUGCACGCCGCAUGUUGUGUUUUUAUGAUUUGGAUCGGGUUGCACGCCGCAACAAUAGAUAAUAAAAGUACUUGUUGAUUGGUUACGAGUCCCUUAUUCUGUUGCUGUGAAUUUUAAAUUGUUCUUUAUGUUUUUUCUCUCUUAAAUUACUGUUGGUAAAUGAUACUCCCCCGCAACAUGUCCCCUCCCAUCUUUAAUUGUUUAUUUCUAUUUUAUUUUCUGCAAUAUAUUAUAUAACUGCACAGAUUUAUCUAAUAGUCUGGUCCUAGCCUCGUCAUUACUUCGUCGGGGUUAAAGCCAGACACUUACUAGCACAUGGGGUCGGUUGUCCUGAUACUACACUCUGCACUGUGUGCAGAUCUCGGAGCGGCAACUUUUGGACCAUAGGUUUGGGUGGCUGCCUUCAGUCCAGUCAGAAAUCCCGAGGUAGUCCUGCAGGCGUCCGCAGGCCCCGAUGUUCUCUUCUAUCUUUAUAUACUGUUUUCAUUUACUUCAGAGACAGAUUGUAUCUUUCUUUCCAGAUAAUUGUUUAUAGUAUUCGUAGAUGGUCCAUGAUAUUGUGACAUCAGUUCCGUGUACAGAUGUACUUGGUAUUGUCGUACCUGUUUUUGGCUAAGUUAUCAGAUUACGUCUUCCGCA